rnacentral:rRNA from 1 species
UGGCGACCGGCGUACGGGUGAGUAACGCGUAUCCAACCUGCCCUUUGCUAUGGGACAGCCCGUCGAAAGGCGGAUUAAUACCGUAUGUUGUCAUGUUGAUGCAUAUUUUCAUGACCAAAGGCUUCGGCCGGUAAAGGAUGGGGAUGCGUCUGAUUAGCUUGCCGGCGGGGUAACGGCCCACCGGGGCGACGAUCAGUAGGGGUUCUGAGAGGAAGGUCCCCCACAUUGGAACUGAGACACGGUCCAAACUCCUACGGGAGGCAGCAG